rnacentral:rRNA from 1 species
GCCUUGGCUGGGUGGUCCGCCUAACGGUGUGUACUGUCCGGCCGGGGUCUCUUGCUUGGUGAGGCGGCAUGCCCUUAACUGGGUGUGUCGCGGAACCAGGUCUUUUACCUUGAGAAAAUUAGAGUGUUCAAAGCAGGCAUUUGCCCGGAUACGUUAGCAUGGAAUAAUAAAAUAGGACGUGCGGUUCUAUUUUGUUGGUUUCUAGAGUCGCCGUA